GUGAGCGGGAGACCAGGGCACGGCAAGGGGAGCUGCAGGGCCACUGGAGGGCCCCAGCCUCUGACCCCUGUCCUCUUGCAG
rnacentral:pre_miRNA from 1 species